rnacentral:rRNA from 1 species
CGAACGCUGGCGGCGUGCUUAUCACAUGCAAGUCGAACGGAAAGGCCCUGCUUUUGUGGGGUGCUCGAGUGGCGAACGGGUGAGUAACACGUGAGUAACCUGCCCUUGACUUUGGGAUAACUUCAGGAAACUGGGGCUAAUACCGGAUAGGAGCUCCUGCUGCAUGGUGGGGGUUGGAAAGUUUCGGCGGUUGGGGAUGGACUCGCGGCUUAUCAGCUUGUUGGUGGGGUAGUGGCUUACCAAGGCUUUGACGGGUAGCCGGCCUGAGAGGGUGACCGGCCACAUUGGGACUGAGAUACGGCCCAGACUCCUACGGGAGGCAGCAGUGGGGAAUAUUGCACAAUGGGCGGAAGCCUGAUGCAGCAACGCCGCGUGCGGGAUGACGGCCUUCGGGUUGUAAACCGCUUUCGCCUGUGACGAAGCGUGAGUGACGGUAAUGGGUAAAGAAGCACCGGCUAACUACGUG